CCUACGGGAGGCAGCAGUGGGGAAUUUUGGACAAUGGGCGCAAGCCUGAUCCAGCAAUGCCGCGUGAGUGAAGAAGGCCUUCGGGUUGUAAAGCUCUUUUGUCAGGGAAGAAACGGUCUGUUCUAAUACAGCGGGCUAAUGACGGUACCUGAAGAAUAAGCACCGGCUAACUACGUGCCAGCAGCCGCGGUAAUACGUAGGGUGCAAGCGUUAAUCGGAAUUACUGGGCGUAAAGCGUGCGCAGGCGGUUUUGUAAGUUUGUCGUGAAAUCCCCGGGCUCAACCUGGGAAUGGCGAUGAAGACUGCAAGGCUAGAGUUUGGCAGAGGGGGGUAGAAUUCCACGUGUAGCAGUGAAAUGCGUAGAUAUGUGGAGGAACACCGAUGGCGAAGGCAGCCCCCUGGGUCAAAACGUGACGCUCAUGCACGAAAGCGUGGGGAGCAAACAGGAUUAGAUACCCUGGUAGUCCACGCCCUAAACGAUGUCUACUAGUUGUCGGGUCUAAUUGACUUGGUAACGCAGCUACGCGUGAGUAGACCGACCGUGGGAGGUACGGUCGGCGAAGUAAGUUAAACGUUAAAGUUAGUAAGUUAGUUAGGACGUUGAGAGNGCGACGGACGACGACGAGGGAGGAGG
rnacentral:rRNA from 1 species